rnacentral:rRNA from 1 species
AUUGAACGCUGGCGGCAGGCCUAACACAUGCAAGUCGAACGAGUGGCGGACGGGUGAGUAAUGUCUGGGAAACUGCCCGAUGGAGGGGGAUAACUACUGGAAACGGUAGCUAAUACCGCAUACCAUCGGAUGUGCCCAGAUGGAAUUAGCUAGUAGGUGGGGUAACGGCUCACCUAGGCGACGAUCCCUAGCUGGUCUGAGAGGAUGACCAGCCAAACUGGACUUGGGACACGGUCCAGACUCCUACGGGAGGCAGCGGGGGGGAAUAUUGCCCAAGGGGCGCAAGCCGGAGGCAGCCAGGCCGCGUGUAUGAAGAAGGCCUUCGGGUGGAAAAGUACUUUCAGCGAGGAGGCGUUACUCGCAGAAGAAGCACCGGCUAACUCCGUGCAAGCAGCCGCGGUAAUC